rnacentral:sRNA from 1 species
CAAGAGGUUCGACUCGAGCGAAGCGAGAGAACGUUGCGUCAGCAACGGCCCGCAGUGGCAAGUCAUCCUCUGUCACCGGCAG